AGUCGAACGGCAGCACGGGGGCAACCCUGGUGGCGAGUGGCGAACGGGUGAGUAAUACAUCGGAACGUGUCCUGUAGUGGGGGAUAGCCCGGCGAAAGCCGGAUUAAUACCGCAUACGCUCUACGGAGGAAAGGGGGGGAUCUUAGGACCUCUCGCUACAGGGGCGGCCGAUGGCAGAUUAGCUAGUUGGUGGGGUAAAGGCCUACCAAGGCGACGAUCUGUAGCUGGUCUGAGAGGACGACCAGCCACACUGGGACUGAGACACGGCCCAGACUCCUACGGGAGGCAGCAGUGGGGAAUUUUGGACAAUGGGCGCAAGCCUGAUCCAGCAAUGCCGCGUGUGUGAAGAAGGCCUUCGGGUUGUAAAGCACUUUUGUCCGGAAAGAAAACCUCCGCCCUAAUAUGGUGGGGGGAUGACGGUACCGGAAGAAUAAGCACCGGCUAACUACGUGCCAGCAGCCGCGGUAAUACGUAGGGUGCAAGCGUUAAUCGGAAUUACUGGGCGUAAAGCGUGCGCAGGCGGUCCGCUAAGACAGAUGUGAAAUCCCCGGGCUUAACCUGGGAACUGCAUUUGUGACUGGCGGGCUAGAGUAUGGCAGAGGGGGGUAGAAUUCCACGUGUAGCAGUGAAAUGCGUAGAGAUGUGGAGGAAUACCGAUGGCGAAGGCAGCCCCCUGGGCCAAUACUGACGCUCAUGCACGAAAGCGUGGGGAGCAAACAGGAUUAGAUACCCUGGUAGUCCACGCCCUAAACGAUGUCAACUAGUUGUCGGGUCUUCAUUGACUUGGUAACGUAGCUAACGCGUGAAGUUGACCGCCUGGGGAGUACGGUCGCAAGAUUAAAACUCAAAGGAAUUGACGGGGACCCGCACAAGCGGUGGAUGAUGUGGAUUAAUUCGAUGCAACGCGAAAAACCUUACCUACCCUUGACAUGUAUGGAAUCCUGCUGAGAGGUGGGAGUGCCCGAAAGGGAGCCAUAACACAGGUGCUGCAUGGCUGUCGUCAGCUC
rnacentral:rRNA from 1 species